rnacentral:miRNA from 1 species
GCGUGGCGCGUGCCCGCCGG